rnacentral:rRNA from 1 species
GACGAACGCUGGCGGCGUGCUUAACACAUGCAAGUCGAACGGAAAGGCCCCAGCUUGCUGGGGUACUCGAGUGGCGAACGGGUGAGUAACACGUGGGUGAUCUGCCCUGCACUCUGGGAUAAGCCUGGGAAACUGGGUCUAAUACCGGAUAGGACCGUGCUUUAGUGUGUGCGGUGGAAAGUUUUUCGGUGCAGGAUGAGCCCGCGGCCUAUCAGCUUGUUGGUGGGGUAAUGGCCUACCAAGGCGGCGACGGGUAGCCGGCCUGAGAGGGUGUACGGCCAAAUGGGGACUGAGACACGGCCCAGACUCCUACGGGAGGAAGCAGUGGGAAUAUUGCACAAUGGGCGCAAGCCUGAUGCAGCGACGCCGCGUGGGGGAUGACGGCCUUCGGGUUGUAAACCCCUUUCGGCAGGGACGAAGCUUUUGUGACGGUACCUGCAUAAGAAGCACCGGCUAACUACGUG